GGGGGAUAUUGCACAAUGGGGGAAACCCUGAUGCAGCGACGCCGCGUGGAGGAAGAAGGUUUUCGGAUUGUAAACUCCUGUCGUUAGGGACGAUAAUGACGGUACCUAACAAGAAAGCACCGGCUAACUACGUGCCAGCAGCCGCGGUAAAACGUAGGGUGCAAGCGUUGUCCGGAAUUACUGGGUGUAAAGGGAGCGCAGGCGGACCGGCAAGUUGGAAGUGAAAACUAUGGGCUCAACUCAUAAAUUGCUUUCAAAACUGCUGGCCUUGAGUAGUGCAGAGGUAGGUGGAAUUCCCGGUGUAGCGGUGGAAUGCGUAGAUAUCGGGAGGAACACCAGUGGCGAAGGCGACCUACUGGGCACCAACUGACGCUGAGGCUCGAAAGCAUGGGUAGCAAACAGGAUUAGAUACCCUGGUAGUCCAUGCCGUAAACGAUGAUUACUAGGUGUUGGAGGAUUGACCCCUUCAGUGCCGCAGUUAACACAAUAAGUAAUCCACCUGGGGAGUACGACCGCAAGGUUGAAACUCAAAGGAAUUGACGGGGGCCCGCACAAGCAGUGGAGUAUGUGGUUUAAUUCGAAGCAACGCGAAGAACCUUACCAGGUCUUGACAUCCGAUGCAUAGUGCAGAGAUGCAUGAAGUCCUUCGGGACAUCGAGACAGGUGGUGCAUGGUUGUCGUCAGCUCGUGUCGUGAGAUGUUGGGUUAAGUCCCGCAACGAGCGCAACCCUUAUUGCCAGUUACUACGCAAGAGGACUCUGGCGAGACUGCCGUUGACAAAACGGAGGAAGGUGGGGAUGACGUCAAAUCAUCAUGCCCUUUAUGACCUGGGCUACACACGUACUACAAUGGCGUUUAACAAAGAGAAGCAAGACCGCGGGGUGGAGCAAAACUCAAAAACAACGUCUCAGUUCAGAUUGCAGGCUGCAACUCGCCUGCAUGAAGUCGGAAUUGCUAGUAAUCGCGGAUCAGCAUGCCGCGGUGAAUACGUUCCCG
rnacentral:rRNA from 1 species